rnacentral:lncRNA from 1 species
GGAGUCUGAGACAUCCCUUUCCAGAGUCUCAGAAAGGAGACUGAAGGGUACCUAGAGACUCAAACAAAUCAGUCCAGAAUGAUAAAAGAAGGUCACCAUCAAAUGAGAUGAUGACCGAGGAGUCAGAAGUUGUCCUAAUAUCAGCUUCCCAGGUCCAGGUUCCCUCAGAGAGCCUCUAUGAAGACUCUGUCGAAGACCAUGAGACCAUGUCCCAAAGGAAUCCUCCCAACGCUGCAGCCUCCUGGCAGACGUUCAGGAAAUUCCACUAUGAGGAUGCAGCUGGACCCAGGGAUGUCCUCCGACAUCUCCAGAAACUUUCUGGACAGUGGCUGAGACCUGAUGUUCAGACAAAGAGCAGAUUGUGGAGAUGCUGGUACAGGAGCACUUCCAGGCUGUCCUGCCCGAGGAGCUCAGAUCCAGGCCCAGAGAUGUCAGCCUAGGGUCAGAAUCACUGCCACUGGGUUCUUGUGCAGCCUACAUGUGAGAAGUAACCAGAGGUUCACUUUGUUGUUUCAAGAGCCAGCUACAGUGAUGGGGAAACGUGAACCUCAGUUUUUUUGAGCUUGCCUUUGACUAAAUUGUAAAUAAGACUCCAUCAAAACCCAUGUUUG